UGUAUUUAAUUUUAAAAUAUUAUGAAUAAAUUUGAUUUAUUAUUUUCAUUCAUAUUGUAUGCUACCAAGUUGUUUUCGAUGAUGCGGCUUCCAAAUCGACGAUCGGCUUCGUUAGGCUUGAUCUACACUAUUAAAAGUAUUUGGAAACUAAAUUUUAUAAUUUUUCGAUAUCAUUUACCUAUCAAACGAGUAGUCUAAAAAUGAAUGGCUGAAAAUAAAAAUCUUAUAAAAAAUGAUGAUAAAAGACUUAGAUUUAAGAUCAGAGGUACUGAUCUUACUCUAAAUAGUGAAAAGAAUUUUCUAUAAAAAUUUCAUCAAAUUUGGAUUGUUUUACACCGUUAAAUUCACAAACGCAUCACAUCUACCAUUAAAAUUGUCAAUUUUGAGACCUUUUGAUCACUGACCAAAUGAUGUCGAAAAAUUAUAAAAUUUAGUUUCCAAAUAUUUUUAAUAGUAUAGAUUAAGUCUAACGGAGCCAAUCGUCAAUUUGGAAGCCGCAUCAUCAAAAA
rnacentral:lncRNA from 1 species